AUUGAACGCUGGCGGCAGGCCUAACACAUGCAAGUCGAACGAGUGGCGGACGGUUGAGUACUGUUUGGGAAACUGCCCGUUGGCGGGGGAUCACUACUGGAAACGGCAUCUAAUCCCGCCUACCAUCGGCUGUGUUCCGAGGGGAUUGGAUAGUCGGUGGGGUAACGGCUUACCUAGGCGACGAACCCUAGCUGGUCUGAGCGGAUGAACAGCCACACGUGGACUGAGGCACGGUCCAGACUCCGACGGGAGGCAGCAUUGGGGAAUAUUGCACAAUGGGCGCAAGCCGGAUGCAGCCAUGCCGCGUGUAGUAAGAAGGCCUUCGGGUUGUAAAGUACUUUCAGCGAGGAGGCGUUACUCGAAGAAGAAGCACCGGCUAACUCCGUGCCAGCAGCCGCGGUAAUUC
rnacentral:rRNA from 1 species